rnacentral:snRNA from 1 species
AUCAUCUCUCAGCCUUUUGGCUAAGUCAAGCGUAGUAUCUGUUCUUAUCAAUUAAAUAAAUUUUGGAAAAAUGAAUAAGUGAAUAAACCUUGGCAGAAUCAGGAACUAUUAUUUUAAAACUAUGCUUUGCUAAUUAUCCUAGCAACCUCUUA